AAGUCGUAACAAGGUAACCGUAGGUGAACCUGCGGUUGGAUCAUUAAUAAAUUUUCUUUUUCCUCCCUUAAAUCUUUUAAGGUCGAGGAAAAUCAACCCAACCUGUGAACUGUUUAAUUGUAUUUUUGGGUGAGGGGGUUUUUAACCGUUAAAAAUCUCUUUUGAUUUCCCUUACCCAUAUUUUAUUUAAGCUCUAGUAGAAAAACUUGUCUUUAAAAAACCUUAACAUUUAUGUUAAAUUUCUUAAUUGAAAACAACUUUUGUCAACGGAUCUCUAGGCUCUC
rnacentral:misc_RNA from 1 species